CGGGGCGUAGCGCAGCUUGGCUAGCGCACUUGAAUGGGGUUCAAGAGGUCGCUGGUUCGAAUCCAGUCGCCCCGACCA
rnacentral:tRNA from 1 species